GAUGAACGCUGGCGGCGUGCCUAAUACAUGCAAGUCGAGCGAACAGACGAGGAGCUUGCUCCUCUGUCGUUAGCGGCGGACGGGUGAGUAACACGUGGAUAACCUACCUAUAAGACUGGGAUAACUUCGGGAAACCGGAUCUAAUCCCGUAUAAUAUAUUGAACCGCAGUGUUCGUUGGUAAGAGACGGUGUUGCGGUCUCUUAUCGAGGGAUCCGCGCCGGUUUGGCUGGUUGUUAAGGUAACGGCCUACCAAGGCGACGAUGCGUAGCCGACGUGAGAGGGUGAUAGCCCGCACGGGAGCGUGAACGGCGACCAUGGGACUACGAGAGGCAGCAGUAUGGUACGUGCCGCAAAGGUCGAAAACCUGACGGAACAAGGCCGCGUCAGAGAUGAAGGUCCUCGGAUCGGAAAGAUCUGUUAUGAGGGAAAAACAGAUGUGUCAGGUACUAUGCACGGCUUGACGGUACCGAGUCAGAAAGCAACGGCUAACUACGUG
rnacentral:rRNA from 1 species